CAUAGACCAUGCGCUCAUGGGGAUCAGGGGGAUGGGAGGAGUAUAUUAGGUUGUAGCCCAUGCUCCAGCCUUGUUGAUCUCCUCACCACCCCAGUACAGCCACCUUUACUCCUCCUGUAUCCUCUGUCUUUUCUGUUUUUUUCUAAACUUUUUUUCCUGGAGGUGGGGUCUUGCUAUAUUGCCCAGGCUGGCACGCAAUGGCUGUUUACCGGCAUGCCUAUUGCACACUACAGGAUCGAACUUCUGGCUUCAAGUGAUCCUCCUACCUCAGCCUCCCCAGUAGCAGGGACUACGGGAAUGGGUCACUGUACCCAGCCCUUCUCUUCUUUUUUAUUUUAUUUUGUUUUAUUAUUAUUAUGUUUUGAGAUGGAGUCUCGAUCUGUCACCCAGGCUGGAGUGCAGUGACGCCAGCCUGGCUCACUGCAAGCUCCACCUCCUGGGUUCAUGCCAUUCUCCUGCCUCAGCCUCCCGAGUAGCUGAGAUUACAGGCCCAUCACCAUGCCUGGCUAAUUUUUUUGUAUUUUUAGUAGAGACGGGGUUUCACCGCCUGGCCAAUUUUUUUUUUUUUUGUCAGUGUUGACCAGGCUUGGCCUCAAACGUGUAGCCUCGCCUCCCCGAGGGCCAGGACGACCGGCCUGAGCUGCCGCAGCUCCCCUCUUCUUUUUGACAUAUCCCAGAAUACUCCAAUAGGUAGCCUUCUGAAUUCCUCCAGGCAGCAUUUUGGGACUGGGAGGGUCCAACAUUUGUAUACCUUAAUUACUGUGACCAUUGAAAUUAAUUCCUUUCAAUGCCUGUCUUUCCUAUCCUGGGGGGCAGGAACCGGAUCUAAAUAAUCUGUCUCCAGUUUCUCACAUAUAGCCUGGAAUUGAGAUCUGUCUGUCUCCAAAGUGUACAGCUUCCCCAGGGUUUAGCAUAAACAGACAUGUUGACAGAUACAUGCAAAUAUUUUAAAAGGUUUUGAGAAGACUCUAUAGAGAUAGAUGGAAAAGAAAUGUAAUACAUGUUCUUCCAAAGUUCUAGGUCCAUAUUUUAAAGGAAGAUGUAGGGAGUUUUCAGAGAAUCAGAACAUCUUGGAGCUGGGAGGGUUCAACCCCUUCAUCUUACUAAGGAGAUCGUGGGGCUCAGAGAGACUAAGUGAUUGCAGAAGUUACACAGUGUGGAGCUGCAGCGGAUGCAGGGCUGGCUGUUCACCUGCAUCUCUCCAUUCUUGCAACGGUGACAGGAAUUAUGGGAAAAGCUGAGUUGUAAUUCUUUUGAUGAAACAUCACUGAUUAGAAUUUCCAAGGCAUCCUGUGUAUCAGGAAAGCCUCACCUUGCAUUUGCCCCUGAUCUCAGCUUUUGCCUCAGGGAACCACCAGUGAUCUCAGUUGGAGAAUGCUUGCUUAUGUAAGAUCUGGCCUCGUUGAGAUGAGUCAUAGACCCAAGAGUGGUAAGUGGAGGUCACAGUUGACUAGACCUGGAUACAUUUAUGCCUGUUUUUACUCAUCUGUGUUAUAUAUGUGCUCAAGACCUAAGGCCACAAAGAGAUAUAAGACCUUCUUGUAAAGCACCUGGUUUUUGUGCAGACUUGGUAUUUCUGUAUAAAAAGUCCUAUUCCCUUUGAUAUCCUACCAGCAAGCCAUCCUCCCACAUACCCAUCUGUCUAUCCACCUAUCCAUCCCUCCAUCCCACCAUCCCUCUAUCCAUCUAUCUAUCCCUCUAACCAUCCAUCCAUCCAUCCAUCCAUCCAUCCCUCCAUCCCUUUAGGUACCCAACAAACACCUAUGGAGUGCCUAUUUUGGUCCAGUAACUAUGCUAAGCACAAUUUUGAUCUGUUAUCUCACUGAAACCUCAUACUCCCUGAAACAUGGGUGGUUUUAUCCCGACAGAAAUGAAUAAAACAAAUGUUACAGCUCUUUUAGAAUUUGUCUAGCAGGCUUUUCAGUUUUUGCCAGAAAGCCCCUUAAAAAAGAAGGGAAAAAAAGAAAUGAAUAAAAUAAAUAAGGACCCAAGCUGACUGAAUAAGACAUAGUGGCUGCCUCUCAGGUACCUGGUACAGAAGGAAGGGGGACCCAGCUAUUUGCUUGCCACUUUCACCUAUCUUAUGUCAUUGAGUCCUCACAACCACCCCACAGAAUAGAACAUUUCAUGCCCAUUUUACAGAUAGGGAAAUCGAGUCUCAGAAGGGUUCAGAGAUUUAUAAAGGUAAAAGAGCUACUAAGUGGCAUAAUAAUAUUCAAAGCCAGAUCUGCCUUAGUAAGCAUGGGUCCCUUUCCUUCUCUCCUCCCACUCCACCAUGUGGCUGUACCCUUGCCCAAGCCCCUCCAGGCACAGCCUCCUAAGCGCUGGGACAGGGCUGUCUUGGGGGAAUGACCCAAGAGGCCUCCAGUGGAAGGUGAGGGCCUCCGCCUUGCUGUUUCUGGCUUCCUCUUUGAGGCCUCUGUGCUCCCUAUGCAUGUUGAAGCCCCAGCAGCAAUGACUGUUCCCUGGGCUCAGGCUGUGCUCAGCUAGGGAGGGUACUCCUGAGGGUGGAUGGCGUCCAUGAACACAGUGUUCCAGAGACCCUCAGAAGCCAGAGUGGUCAUUGUCACUGGAGCUAGAAGGUGCUCUUAGAUGUCACCUGGAUCCUGACAGCUCUGUAAGGGGAGGGACAGAGGUGGCCACUCAAUAUUUGCUGACCACUUACUGCAAGGGGAACUUCACGUCAUUUACUCCUCCCAAACACCUAUGGGUAGAACUGCCUCUUCCCUCUGCCUGAGUUACUUUCUUCCUGGAUAGCAACAUGGCUCACUCCCUUGCUUCCUUCAAGGCUUUGCUUAAAUGGCCCCUUCUCGGUGAGGCCUGCUUGACUACCUCACUUAAAAAUGUAGGCUUGGGGCCUGGCGCAGUGGCUCACACCUUUAAUCCUAGCACUUUGGGAGGCCGAGGUGGGUGGAUCACCUGAAGUUGGGAGUCGAGGCCGGCCUGGCCAACAUGACAAAACCCUGUCUUUACUAAAAAUACAAAAAUUAGCCGGGCAUGGUGUCAGGCACCUGUAAUCCCAUCUACUCGAGAAGCUGAGGCAGGAGAAUCACUUGAACCUGGGAGGUGCAGAGAUUGUGGUGAGUUGAGAUCAUGCCACUGCACUCCAGCUUGGGCAACAGAGCAAGACUCUGUCUCAAAAAAAAAAAAAAAAAAAAAAAUGGAGGCAUGGGUAGGAAGCGUGCAGGGUUUCAUGGCCCUGCAGCCUCAUUAGACUCAGUACCCUCCUGAAAAAAAAAAUUAAAAAUAUAACAGCGGUGCUUGCUUCGUCAGCACAUAACUAAAACUGGAACAAUAUAGAGAUACAGAUAUGGCCCCUGAACAAGGAUGACACACAAAUUCAUGAAGCAUUCCAUAUAAUUAAAAUAAAUUAAAAAAAAUGAAAACCAAAUCCCCACCCCCAAAAUACAGAUGCUUAGAGAGUAAAGUGAUUCCCAAGGUCACACAGCGAAUGGCUGGCCUAGCUGGGUAUGUCCAGCUCCAAAGCUCAUUCUGCCACACUCCCUUCCCCUGUGGACAUCUUUCAUGAUACAGAAUGUGAAGGUCCCUAUCUUCCAUCUUCCAGACAAGAAAGACGAGCAUCAAGCAGGUGAAAUGACUUACAUCCAAGGUCACGCAGCAAUAAUCAGGAUGCAGAGAUCCUUAUUUUACCUCUACUGUGCAAGAUGCUUCUCAUACAUUUUUGUCUGAAUGCAUGUCAUUUUCCUUCUUUUUUUUCUUUAUCUUUUUCUUUUUUUUUGAGACGGAUUUUUGCUCUUAUUGCCCAGGCUGGAGUACAAUGGAGCAAACUUGGCUCACUGCAACCUCCACCACCCGGGUUCAAGCAAUU
rnacentral:lncRNA from 1 species